GUUAAAAGUCCAAGUUUUUGUAACAAUUUGUAUUUAAAUUCAUGAACUUCAAGAAAUAAACUAUAUAUAGAUAAAUCGUACGUUUGUCAUACUUUUCUUAAAACAAUGAAUUAUAGUUGGCAGUAUACCUCUGCAUUAUCAAUUUUUUAUCACUGUUAUUAAUGGCGUCUUCGAGUUCAAAAUGAAAACGAAGAAAAUGGAAUACAGAUCACAUAAAAGAAGCUAUACGAAUGGUUAGAGAGAGAAAAUGGGUUUUUUUAAAGUGGCAAAACGCUUUUAUGUACCAAGGAACUUUGUUUCGAUUGUGUCAGAAGAAUGAGUUAUCUCCAGAAGAAGCUACAGCCAAUAAGUUAGGAAGAAAAUCUGUUUUAGGUGAUCAACUCGAAAAUCAUCUAGUAGAAUAUAUUUUAAAGAUGGAGAGCAAGUUUCACGGCUUGACGAGAAAUGAUGGCGUACAUGUUGGCCGAACUCAAUGAUAUGGAGCAUCCUUCCGGCGACUCCGGUAUUGCUGGAUAAAGCUUUUGUAAGAGCUUUUGGUUUCAGUAAAAAAAAUACUCGUUUUUUUUAAUCUUCUUGAAGAAGUCUACACUAAGGGCAAAAAUACUCUGAAUCUCAUAUUUAACGUUGAUGAAUCAGGAGUGACAGGGGUUCAAAGCAAGAUACCCCAAGUUCUCAGUCACACAGGAAAACGGCAAAUAGUUUCACUUAUUUCAGUUGAAAGAGGCUCAUUCAUUGUGCCUCAUUACAUCAUUUAUUCCAGGAAAAAUAUGAGCACACGGCUAAUGAAAAGUAGUUCUCCCGGUGCCGUAGGUGUUGCACAUCCAUCAGGAUGGAUAGAAAUGCACAUAUUCACAGGAUUAAGCAUCAAAUACACUAACUCGACCACAGAAUCGAAAGAUUUAUCAUACCAUCAUAGAUGAUCAUUAUUCACACACUCGAAACAUCGACGUUAUAGAAAUUGCAAAAGAGAAGAAUGUUUGAAAUUAUUUCUCUACUUCCAAACACAACUAACCAACUUCAACCUUUAGAUAAAACUUUUAUGGGAACAUUGAAAACCUAUUAUAGUGAAGAAAUACGAAAGUGAAUAAGAAACAAUAACAGGUUACUAAAUCCUUAUCCUAUUGGCAGAUCUUACUUGAAAGUGAAAAUAAGGGAAAUUGUAACGAAUGACUUUCGCGUUUCGGGCAUUUGGUUAUUGAAUAAAAACAAGAUGUAGUUAAAGAUGGCUGCACAAUCAAUAUCACUCCAACAAAAUCAACUCUCAGUCAAAACAAACAUCAACCAACGAUGCAGGUCCACCUGAUAAUAUUUUUUUCAACUAAAACUUCUUUCUCGCCAAGAAAAAAAAAAAAAAUUCCAUCCAGAACCCUCAACUUCUAGGCUUGCUAACUGUACCCUAAAUCUGGUGUCGCCCUAUGAAAUAAUAACAUCUUCUCCAUACAAAAAUCAACUCAUUGACAGUAGUAGAAAGAAGAAUGAAAAAGAGAAUAUGUUAGCAAAGCGAAAAAAUAAGGAACACAAAGAAACAAAUCUAAAAGAAAGCAGCAAAAAGAGAAAACCAAGUCUAAUAAUCCCAUUGACUCAAAUGAUGAAGAAGAAAUACACUAUGACACAGACAGUGAGUCUGAUGCUCUCAUAGGACAGAAAGCUCCUGACUCAGAAGUGCGGAGUCUAUGUUCUAUAACAGCCCGGUUUUUCAAGAUACUCGAGGAUAGACAUGGAUCAAAUCCCUCAUGUGCGAGUUCUGUGAGUAAUUUAAGUAAAUUUUUAAAAUUGACUAAAGUUACUGUAGUAUCUCAUAAAAGUAAAGGUUUAUUAUUUAUAAUUUUAUAGUAGUCCAUAUUUGGGUAUCUAUUCCAUAUUUGAAUACCUUUAUAUUGAUUUUGUUUUUGUGAAAAUUUUGUAUUUUAAAUUAAUAUAUGUAAAACAAGACAGUCAAUAAUUUAAGUACAACUGUAUGACUGAUAAUAAAUAAAAAUAAAAACAUUUUAGUUA